rnacentral:tRNA from 1 species
AGUAUCAUGGUGUAGUUGGUUAUCACGUUAGUCUAACGUACUGAAGGUCUCUGAUUCAAGUCAAGGCGAUUUAG